CAGUCGCCACGGUAAUACGGAGGAUCCAAGCGUUAUCCGGAAUCAUUGGGUUUAAAGGGUCCGUAGGCGGUCUUGUAAGUCAGUGGUGAAAGCCCAUCGCUCAACGGUGGAACGGCCAUUGAUACUGCAGGACUUGAAUUAUUGGGAAGUAACUAGAAUAUGUAGUGUAGCGGUGAAAUGCUUAGAGAUUACAUGGAAUACCAAUUGCGAAGGCAGGUUACUACAAAUUGAUUGACGCUGAUGGACGAAAGCGUGGGUAGCGAACAGGAUUAGAGACCCCUGUAGUCCCUGUCUCUUAUAC
rnacentral:rRNA from 1 species